rnacentral:rRNA from 1 species
CUGGUGUUGACUCCUCUUUAUGUUAACCUUUUUUUUUGGUUAAAACUUUAUGACUCCGAUAACUUUUAGACUGUGAGGCCAAACUUGGCAUGUGAUACCUUUUCGGAAAGCCCAAAGACAGCCCUCCGACGAAAGAAGCAGGACAAUGGAACUUCCCAUUGACGUUUUGUCGACCCCAAAUUUUGACCUUUAAGUACUUUUUCGGGCAUUUUCGUGAUUUGGGCUAUAUUACGGACCCAAAAUUACUUGUUCAAGCAUUGUUUUCGAAUUUUUUCAUGCAUCAAAGCUCGUUAAGACUAGAUGGGGUAUCCCUACAUAGCGGGUGGGACCCACGGNGAAUGGUUCAUCAAGUCUUCAAAAAAGAAUAUAUACGAUUGCAUUGCAUAUACUAACGAAUGCGAUCAUACCAGCACUAAUGCACCGGAUCCCAUCAGAACUCCGCAGUUAAGGCGUGCUUGGGGCGAGAGUAGUACUAGGAUGGGUGAACUCCCGGGCAGAAUCACUAGUGCGGC